rnacentral:rRNA from 1 species
CAUGUAGGUAUCUGCCUUGGUCCUGAUAACACGAGGAACUUAGUGCUAAUACCAGAUAAGUCUUUACGGUAGAAAGACUUUAUUGCACCAUUGGAUGAGCCUGCACUUGAUUAGUUUGUUGGUGGGGUAAUGGCCUACCAAGACUGUGAUCAAUAGCUGAUUUGAGAGGAUGAUCAGCCACAUUGGGACUGAGACACGGCCCAAACUCCUACGGGAGGCAGCAGUGGGGAAUCUUGCACAAUGGAGGAAACUCUGAUGCAGCGAUGCCGCGUGAGUGAAGAAGGCCCUUGGGUUGUAAAG